rnacentral:rRNA from 1 species
AGAGUUUGAUCCUGGCUCAGGACGAACGCUGGCGGCGUGCUUAACACAUGCAAGUCGAACGGAAAGGCCCCUUUCGGGGGGUACUCGAGUGGCGAACGGGUGAGUAACACAUGGGUGAUCUGCCCUGCACUUCGGGAUAAGCUUGGGAAACUGGGUCUAAUACCGGAUAGGACCACGGCCUGCAUGGGUUGUGGUGGAAAGCUUUUGCGGUGUGGGAUGGGCCCGCGGCCUAUCAGAUUGUUGGUGGGGUGAUGGCCUACCAAGGCGACGACGGGUAGCCGGCCUGAGAGGGUGUCCGGCCACACUGGGACUGAGAUACGGCCCAGACUCCUACGGGAGGCAGCAGUGGGGAAUAUUGCACAAUGGGCGCAAGCCUGAUGCAGCGACGCCGCGUGGGGGAUGACGGCCUUCGGGUUGUAAACCUCUUUCACCAUCGACGAAGGCCCGCUUUUGGUGGGUUGACGGUAGGUGGAGAAGAAGCACCGGCCAACUACGUGCCAGCAGCCGCGGUAAUACGUAGGGUGCGAGCGUUGUCCGGAAUUACUGGGCGUAAAGAGCUCGUAGGUGGUUUGUCGC